rnacentral:lncRNA from 1 species
CGAAACCUCGUGUAUUUUAAAUGUAGAAGGAAGUACAAAAGUCCACUUACUGAUUCCAUAGUGCGGAUAUUUUGGGCGGUGCUGAUAGUCUCGAAGCUGCACCUGGGCAUUCCGUGUGAAUCAGGGGUGGUGUUACAGUAGUGCACUCAUCUUUCACCACUGGAGUCGCAGGACUCGGUAUUAAAAUUCGAUCGUCGUGUUUAAUCAUCAAAUCCAAGUUGCCACCAGAUCUCCCACUUGGGGAUUCUUUGACUGUUGACGUGCCUCGACUAUCAUCGAGAAGAAAUACGUAACGUGUACGCCUAUGAUCUACUGGGGAAUUACCAAGAGCAAUGGGAGUAGGAGCUGGUAAUAUAAACGACAAUAGAUUGAAAUGGGUCAUCCUGAGAGGACUGAGGUGGGGAGGGGUUGAUGAUAGACAAAAGAAUGGGUCAUCAUGAGAGGACUGAGGUGGGGAGGUGCUGAUGAUAGACAAUAGAAUGGGUCAUCAUGAGAGGACUGAGGUGGGGAGGUGCUGAUGAUAGACAAUAGAAUGGGUCAUCAUGAGAGGACUGAGGUGGGGAGGAACUGAUGAUACACAAUAGAAUGAGGCACCAUUUGAGGGACGGGCUGAUGAUAGACAUUGAAUAAAAGAUUGGAGGCAACACACGUUUUUGAAACGAUAAGUUGCAACGAUUUUGCAAUUCGCUUCUGUAAUAAAGACUGUUGAUACCUUUAUUAAAUGAUAUUACAUCGCGUACUCUUGGGUCACCAGCCUUCUGAUUGGCAUUUGCAUGGAGCUGUAGUUCCUGAGUUGCUGCAGCCCCUGGUUAACAAGGAGAAAAGAAGAAGUGCUAUUCAGGUGCCCUGAUAAAGGUGUUCUUGACCCUGGUUAGGUUCAUUGUCAAAUCAUGUCAAACAAAGAGCGGUGCUUCGUGUCCGGCAAUACAAACGCUUUUACAUGCCAAACCUUGGCCACCCAACUCAACUAGAUAGCCAAUCAAACAGCGAGAAUUUAGGCAUGGAAUCACUCAGAAUGACAGCAAAAAUUUAAAAUUAUUUCAACAAAAACUGAAAUGGCGAGGAAUUUGCCAAGUUGAUACCAACUUUGAUCCCUUUGCUCAGUGGCUAAUAAUGGAUACUUUUGUAAAAGGUCUUUUUAUUGAUGGAUUAACACUUGAAAGGAUAGGAUUCAACGGCAUUGGUAAAAAAAGAGUUUGGUGGUCCACGGUUAGGCGCUCGAACUGUAACACUUUAUUACUCUUUUCAUUGCUACUAGAUACUAGCUGAUUGACACAACAGUCCAAGGGCGGAUCCAGAUAUUUCGUAAGGGGGUGACUAUAUUACAAAGGUUUUACCAGGAAUUCGAGGAAAAGGGGGUAGACUGUUACUAAUGUUAUACUGAGAUAUUUGAGCAAAAGGGGGUGACUAGUCACCCUUUUUACCAUUUCUGCAUCCGCCCUUGCAGUCGCGACACGCAAAUUAGGCAAUACACUUCCAUCAAUCAAAUAAAUUGGUCAGUACCUAUAUAUUCUCUGAUUGACGGCAGCGUAUAAUUGCCCUAUUUCCCUGUUGCGACUGUUGUCUCGAUCAGUGCUCAAUAGUGAUGGUGAAUAGUAAUCGAUUUGAAUACUAUGAAUUAUUACCUAAAGAUGUUUUGU